GGGUGAGUAACACGUGGAUAACCUACCUAUAAGAUUGGGAUAACUUCGGGAAACCGGAGCUAAUACCGGAUAAUAUUUUGAACCGCAUGGUUCAAAAGUGAAAGACGGUCUUGCUGUCACUUAUAGAUGGAUCCGCGCUGCAUUAGCUAGUUGGUAAGGUAACGGCUUACCAAGGCAACGAUGCAUAGCCGACCUGAGAGGGUGAUCGGCCACACUGGAACUGAGACACGGUCCAG
rnacentral:rRNA from 1 species